rnacentral:rRNA from 1 species
UACGUAGGGGGCUAGCGUUGUCCGGAAUCAUUGGGCGUAAAGCGCGUGUAGGCGGUCCGGUAAGUCCGCUGUGAAAGUCGGGGGCUCAACCCUCGAAUGCCGGUGGAUACUGUCGGGCUAGAGUGCGGAAGAGGCGAGUGGAAUUCCAGGUGUAGCGGUGAAAUGCGUAGAUAUCUGGAGGAACACCGGUGGCGAAGGCGGCAUCCUGGACCGGCAUUGACGCUGAGGCGCGAAAGCCAGGGGAGCAAACGGG